rnacentral:rRNA from 1 species
AUUGAACGCUGGCGGCAUGCCUAACACAUGCAAGUCGAACGCGAAAGAGGGGCAACUCUCGAGUAGAGUGGCGGACGGGUGAGUAAUACGUAGGAAUCUGCCCUAGAGUGGGGGAUAACCUGUCGAAAGACGGGCUAAUACCGCAUAUACUCUGAGGAGCAAAGGUGGCUAGCAAUAGCCUUCGCUUUAGGAUGAGCCUACGUCGGAUUAGCUAGUUGGUAGGGUAAUGGCCUACCAAGGCAACAAUCCGUAGCUGGUCUGAGAGGACGAUCAGCCACACUGGAACUGAGACACGGUCCAGACUCCGACGGGAGGCAGCAGUGGGGAAUAUUGGACAAUGGGGGAAACCCUGAUCCAGCAAUGCCGCGUGUGCGAUGAAGGCCUGCGGGUUGUAAAGCACUUUUGUUGGGGAAGAAAUGCUCAAAGAUAAUACAUUUGAGAGCUGACGUUACCCAAAGAAGAAGCACCGGCAAACUCUGUGCCAGCCGCCGCAGUAA